rnacentral:rRNA from 1 species
AACGAACGCUGGCGGCGUGCUUAACACAUGCAAGUCUUGCGAGAAAGUUUCCUUCGGGGAAUGAGUACAGUGGCGCACGGGUGAGUAACACGUGGGUAACCUACCCUUCAGUUUGGGAUAACAUUUCGAAAGGGAUGCUAAUACCGGAUAAGUUCUUUAAGACUUCGGUCUUUUUGAGGAAAGAUGGCCUCUAUACUAUGCUAUCGCUGAUGGAUGGGCCCGCGGGACAUUAGCUUGUUGGUAGGGUAACGGCCUACCAAGGCAACGAUGUCUAGCUGGUCUGAGAGGAUGAUCAGCCACACUGGUACUGGAACACGGACCAGACUCCUACGGGAGGCAGCAGUGGGGAAUAUUGCGCAAUGGGGGAAACCCUGACGCAGCAACGCCGCGUGAGUGAUGAAGGCCUUCGGGUCGUAAAGCUCUGUCAGAGGGGAAGAAGGUAAUGGGGCUAAUACCCCCACCUACUUGACGGUACCCUCAGAGGAAGCACCGGCUAACUCCGUGCCAGCAGCCGCGGUAAUACGGAGGGUGCAAGCGUUGUUCGGAAUUACUGGGCGUAAAGGGCGCGUAGGCUGUUGUCUAAGUCAGAUGUGAAAUCCCACGGCUUAACCGUGGAACUGCAUUUGAAACUGGGCGACUUGAGUACGGGAGAGGGAAGUGGAAUUCCAAGUGUAGAGGUGAAAUUCGUAGAUAUUUGGAGGAACACCAGUGGCGAAGGCGGCUUCCUGGACCGAUACUGACGCUGAGGCGCGAAAGCGUGGGGAGCAAACAGGAUUAGAUACCCUGGUAGUCCACGCUGUAAACGAUGAGUACUAGGUGUUGCGGGUAUUGACCCCUGCAGUGCCGCAGCUAACGCAUUAAGUACUCCGCCUGGGGACUACGGUCGCAAGACUAAAACUCAAAGGAAUUGACGG